UGGGGAAUCUUGCACAAUGGGCGAAAGCCUGAUGCAGCAACGCCGCGUGCGGGAAGAAGGCCCUCGGGUUGUAAACCGCUUUCAGAAGGAACGAAACUGACGGUACUUUCAGAAGAAGGUGCGGCCAACUACGUGCCAGCAGCCGCGGUGACACGUAGGCACCAAGCGUUGUCCGGAUUUAUUGGGCGUAAAGAGCUCGUAGGCGGUUCAGUAAGUCGGGUGUGAAAACUUUGGGCUUAACCCAAAGCGUGCAUCCGAUACUGCUGUGACUUGAGUACGGUAGGGGAGCGGGGAAUUCCUAGUGUAGCGGUGAAAUGCACAGAUAUUAGGAGGAACACCGGUGGCGAAGGCGCCGCUCUGGGCCGAAACUGACGCUGAGGAGCGAAAGCGUGGGGAGCAAACAGGAUUAGAUACCCAGGUAGUCCCUGAGCGGGC
rnacentral:rRNA from 1 species